AACCAAUAAGAAUGUCGCGAGGUGUGAAACCCACGCGCACGAAAUACAAACCACUGUUUAGUGUUUACAUUUCCUUCUCUACUGUGACAACUGUGCUUCGAGUCUGUUUCAAGUUUAAAUGAUAUGUUAUUGUGAAGGCGAUUUUAAGAUUAAUUUUUUGGAGAUGAACACACGAGAGCUUGUGAUGUUGUAUAAAGAAGAAAUUAUAAGAGGCGAAUAAAUUGAUGGUUCCGUUACAAACGAUGCAAAGAAAUUCAAGACUUCGAAGGUCCCGAAUAGCUUGAAAGUGAAAAGUCUGAAAAGUCUGCUUCAUUCUAAUAAUUCAGAGACCACCGAAGCGCAUGGCGACGCGAACAGAUUCGACAUCACAAGAGAGACUUGGUGACCUUUGUUGAUUAUGAAGAUCAUGAAUUAAGGCGAUAAUGUUAUUGCAACAGUUGAGCAGGCACUAUACACUCCAACAAACAAGAACAAGGGUGACCAACAAGACAAGAAAACACCACCAAGUGUC